GGCCAUACUUUCAGUGGGGUCUG
rnacentral:siRNA from 1 species